UACGGAGGGUGCAAGCGUUAUCCGGAUUUACUGGGUUUAAAGGGUGUGUAGGCGGGCUUUUAAGUCAGUGGUGAAAUCUCCGAGCUUAACUUGGAAACUGCCAUUGAUACUAUUAGUCUUGAAUUCUGUUGAGGUUGGCGGAAUAAGUCAUGUAGCGGUGAAAUGCAUAGAUAUGACUUAGAACACCGAUUGCGAAGGCAGCUAACUAAGCAGAUAUUGACGCUGAGGCACGAAAGCGUGGGGAUCAAAC
rnacentral:rRNA from 1 species